AAAGAAAGCUAUGCAUGAAUGUAUGUUUGUAAUAGCAUAGUGGACAUGAUGUAAAUAAAAGAUUAGUUGUAAUGUAAUGUAUAGAUAUGUACUGUCAUGUACUGGAUAGACUUGUGCUUUCCCUAGUGUCUUUGCUUUAGUGUGAUGUAUGAUUAAUCCCUUGUACAUGAAUCCUGUUUUACGUUUCUUGAUGAGAAAUGUGUGUAUCAGGCUUAAUGUAUGGCUUUGAUGAGAUACCAGUGG
rnacentral:lncRNA from 1 species